GACGAACGCUGGCGGCGUGCUUAACACAUGCAAGUCGAACGGAAAGGCCUCUUUCGGGGGGUACUCGAGUGGCGAACGGGUGAGUAACACGUGAGUAACCUGCCCUUGACUUUGGGAUAACUUCAGGAAACUGGGGCUAAUACCGGAUAGGAGCUCCUGCUGCAUGGUGGGGGUUGGAAAGUUUCGGCGGUUGGGGAUGGACUCGCGGCUUAUCAGCUUGUUGGUGGGGUAGUGGCUUACCAAGGCUUUGACGGGUAGCCGGCCUGAGAGGGUGACCGGCCACAUUGGGACUGAGAUACGGCCCAGACUCCUACGUGAGGCAGCAGUGGGGAAUAUUGCACAAUGUGUGGAAGCCUGAUGCAGCAACGCCGUGUGCGGGAUGACGGCCUUCGGGUUGUAAACCGCUUUCGCUCAUGACGAAGCUUUGUGUGACGGUAGUGGGUAAAGAAGCACCGGCUAACUACGUG
rnacentral:rRNA from 1 species